CUCGCUGUCGGAGGCUGGGUGUCGUUCUAUAGUGCAGAUUGUCUAAUUGAGUUUCUGAAAGCAUCGUCCACGUCUGCCACUUCAUGGGUCCGUACACUGGGAACUCACGCCUGAGAACUUCCUGCUCACCAGAUUUGAUUUCAGUUUCUCUGUCUCCAUCGAAGAAAUGGCAAGCAUGGUUAAGGCGAGCAACGAGGGUUCCUGUAGUGCAUAACCAUUUCAAGUCGCCCAAGUUCUAAAGAGAGAUCAGAAGUGCCAGCUACUGAAGCAAAAAAAAAGGACCUGAUACACAUUAUAAUCAUGGACUGCUGAUAUACCUGAUGCAUUUCUUCAUGAUGGUCGAUUUUCUUUCG
rnacentral:rRNA from 1 species